rnacentral:tRNA from 1 species
CUCCCGGUAGCCAAGUUGGUUUAAGGCGCAAGACUGUAAAUCUUGAGAUCGGGCGUUCGACUCGCCCCCGGGAGA